rnacentral:rRNA from 1 species
AUACGGAGGGUGCAAGCGUUAUUCGGAAUCACUGGGCGUAAAGGGUGCGUAGGCGGUUUGAUAAGUCUGAUGUGAAAUCCUAUGGCUCAACCAUAGAACUGCAUUGGAAACUGUCAGACUAGAAUACUGAAGGGGCAGAUGGAAUUAGUGGUGUAGGGGUAAAAUCCGUAGAUAUCACUAGGAAUACCGAAAGCGAAAGCGAUCUGCUGGGAAGUUAUUGACGCUGAGGCACGAAGGCGUGGGGAGCAAACGGGAUUAGAUACCCUAGUAGUCC